rnacentral:rRNA from 1 species
UACGUAGGGUGCAAGCGUUUGUCCGGAAUUAUUGGGCGUAAAGAGCUCGUAGGCGGUUUGUCGCGUCUGCUGUGAAAACUCGGGGCUCAACCCCGGGCCUGCAGUGGGUACGGGCAGACUAGAGUGCGGUAGGGGAGACUGGAAUUCCUGGUGUAGCGGUGAAAUGCGCAGAUAUCAGGAGGAACACCGGUGGCGAAGGCGGCUCACUGGACGACUGUUGACGCUGAGGUGCGAAAGCGUGGGGAGCAAACAGG